GGAAUUAUUGACAAUGGGGGAAACCCUGAUCAUGCAACGCCGCGUGGAUGAUGAAGUACCUCGGUACGUAAAAUCCUUUCGACAGGGAAGAAACUCUUCGGAGCUGACGGUACCUGUAGAAGAGGCCCCGGCUAACUCCGUGCCAGCAGCCGCGGUAAUACGGGGGGGGCAAGCGUUGUUCGGAUUUACUGGGCGUAAAGGGCGCGUAGGCGGUUUGCUAAGUCGGAUGUGAAAACUGGGCGCUCAACCCUCAGCCUGCAUCCGAUACUGGCAGACUAGAGUGCGAGAGGGGAAGGCGGAAUUCCUGGUGUAGCGGUGAAAUGCGUAGAUAUCAGGAGGAACACCGGUGGCGAAGGCGGCCUUCUGGACCAAUACUGACGCUGAGGUGCGAAAGCGUGGGGAGCA
rnacentral:rRNA from 1 species